rnacentral:rRNA from 1 species
AAAAGAACUUUGAAGAGAGAGUUCAAUAGUACGUGAAAUCACUGGGAGCGAAGCGGAUGGAGUCGACGAAACUGGCAGUAUUCAGGGUUGGGCGGUCGUCUGGUGGCGGGUAUCGUUUAGCGGAUUGUUGAGCGUGCUUGUUGCCGUGAUGGCUGUCCAUCUUGCAUUUACUGUUAGUAUGUGCCGAGAGGCUUGGUUGGUCCUUCUGAACGGCGCGAUGUUGCCCUCAUCUGAGGUGUCUUGUCGCGUCGGGAGGUCGGUACUGGCUAGGUUGCGUUUGUCGUGGCUCGCCAUGGUGCAUUGGGUUGUCGUGCUUGCGGCAUGCGUAGGCGGUGGCUUGCCACUUGUUUGCGUAUGUUGUAGGUGCGGUGGCUUGGUGCGGAGUCAUCGUCUCGGUAUGRUGAAAGUUGACCACCCAUCCGACCCGUCUUGAAACACGGACCAAGAAGUCUAGCAUGUGCGCGAGUCAAUGGGCUCUAAACCCCAAAGGCGAAAUAAAAGUAAAGGCUGCUUGAUCAGCUGAUAUGGGAUCCGUGCUUGCUUGCAAGUGCGGCGCACCAUAGCCCCAUCCCGUGAGCUUGCUCUGGGGUGGAGGAAGAGCGUACAUGCUGGGACCCGAAAGAUGGUGAACUAUGCCUGAGCAGGAUGAAGCCAGAGGAAACUCUGGUGGAAGUCCGAAGCGGUUCUGACGUGCAAAUCGAUCGUCUGACUUGGGUAUAGGGGCGAAAGACUAAUCGAACCAUCUAGUAGCUGGUUCCCGCCGAAGUUUCCCCCAGGAUAGCUGGAGUACGAAUGAAGUUAUAUUCGGUAAAGCGAAUGAUUAGAGGACUUGGGGACGAAACGUCCUCAACCUAUUCUCAAACUUUCAAUGAGUAUGAUGUCGUCGUUUCUUAAUUGAACCUCGGCAUUUGAAUGAGUGCUCCAAGUGGGCCAUUUUUGGUAAGCAGAACUGGCGAUGCGGGAUGAACCGAACGUCGGGUUAAGGUGCCUAACUUUCCGCUCAUGAGACCCCAUGAAAGGUGUUGGUUGAUAUAGACAGCAGGACGGUGGCCAUGGAAGUCGGAACCCGCUAAGGAGUGUGUAACAACUCACCUGCCGAAUCAACUAGCCCUGAAAAUGGAUGGCGCUUGAGCGGGAGACCUAUACCCGGCCGUUGGUGGCUUGUUCGUUGGUAGCGACUGGCCCCAACGAGUAGGCGGGUCGCAGUGGUUGCGUAGAAGGCUUUGGGC